rnacentral:rRNA from 1 species
GACGAACGCUGGCGGCGCGCUUAACACAUGCAAGUCGAACGGAAAGGCCUGCUUUCCCUUGUGGAUUGCGGGUACUCGAGUGGCGAACGGGUGAGUAACACGUGAGUGAUCUGCCCCCAACUUGGGUAUAAGCCUGGGAAACUGGGUCUAAUUCCCGAUAGGACUGCAGGGUGGUUCCUGUGGUGGAAAACGAUUGUCUAGUGGUUGGGGAUGAGCUCGCGGCCUAUCGGCUUGUUGGAGGGGUAAUGGCCUACCAAUGCGGCGACGGGUAGCCGGCGUGAGAGGGUGGACGGCCACAUUGGGACUGAGAUACGGCCCAGACGCCUACGGCAGGCAGCAGUGGGGAAUAUUGCACAAGGGGCGGAAGCCUGAGGCAGCGACGCCGCGUGGGGGAUGACGGCCUCCGGGUGGUAAACUCCUUUCGACCGCGAGGAAGCCACCUGGUUGGAAGGGUGGUGACGGUAGUGGUAGAAGAAGCACCGGCUAACUACGUG